GCAGACGGUUUUUUGUAAUCAUUUCUCAUUAAUUCGGCAAAUCCAGCUCAUUAUAUCAAAAUCAGUGUUUGCAUUGCUAUUGUAUUUUAUAAUUAAAAAUGCAUAUAUAUUUACCUGCAUCAUUGGAAUUAGAAAUAUAAUCACAGGAUGUUUUGGUACCCAUCAUGUCGUUUAUAUUCGCGGUGAACGUACAUUCUACUACAUUCCGCUAUCUUUUGUGUACAACAGUAAAACUCUACAAUGAUUGGACAAGCAGUCAACACCCUUAAAAUUGUUCAAGGAUUCGUACAUCGACAUUUGCCAUCUUUAAGAUUGUUUACCAUCUUUCGCUCGUAGCGUAUGCGACUUCAGCGACAAGUAUGGACAAAAUGCGAACUACAAAUGCAAUAGGGAAAUACUGUUACCAUUAUGUGCUUAUUGUAUAUAGUAAGUAUAAGUAUAAACUUGUAUAGGUUACAGUCUAUUCUUCCGUAAUCUAAUAAUGGAGUUAAUAGUAACAGGAAUUUUUAUAAGUAAUAAAAAAAUAGUAUCUGAGAAAAUUAAUUAUUUAUACGAAUAUUUAAACUAUAUUAAAGCAACCAUUAGCCCCUGACAUUACUUCACUACAAGUGUAUUCUAGUGACAUCACUACACUACUCCAGAUGGAAUAUAUAACACAAAAUAAAACAUAUAAAAGAUAAUAGCAAUAGAUUAAUAUUAACUUUAUUCUUUUAUAUUAUUACUAUUACAAUUAUUUAAAAAUCAAAAGAACAUUUAAAUCUUUAAUAAUACAGAAAA